GACGAACGCUGGCGGCGUGCUUAACACAUGCAAGUCGAACGGUGAAGCCCUUCGGGGUGGAUCAGUGGCGAACGGGUGAGUAGCACGUGAGCAACCUGCCCCUGGUUCUGGGACAACCACUGGAAACGGUGGCUAAUACCGGAUACGACCCGCCUCGGCAUCGAGUGUGGGUGGAAAGUUUUUCGGCUGGGGAUGGGCUCGCGGCCUAUCAGCUUGUUGGUGAGGUGAAGGCUCACCAAGGCGACGACGGGUAGCCGGCCUGAGAGGGCGACCGGCCACACUGGGACUGAGACACGGCCCAGACUCCUACGGGAGGCAGCAGUGGGGAAUAUUGCACAAUGGGCGAAAGCCUGAUGCAGCGACGCCGCGUGAGGGAUGACGGCCUUCGGGUUGUAAACCUCUUUCAGCUCCGAAGAAGCGAAAGUGACGGUAGGAGCAGAAGAAGCACCGGCUAACUACGUG
rnacentral:rRNA from 1 species